GAAGAGCUCGCGUCUGAUUAGCUAGUUGGUGGGGUAAAGGCUUACCAAGGCGGCGAUCAGUAGCUGGUCUGAGAGGACGAUCAGCCACACUGGGACUGAGACACGGCCCAGACUCCUACGGGAGGCAGCAGUGGGGAAUUUUCCGCAAUGGGCGAAAGCCUGACGGAGCAAUACCGCGUGAGGGAGGAAGGCUCUUGGGUCGUAAACCUCUUUUGUCAGGGAAGAAAACAAUGACGGUACCUGACGAAUCAGCAUCGGCUAACUCCGUGCCAGCAGCCGCGGUAAUACGGAGGAUGCAAGCGUUAUCCGGAAUUAUUGGGCGUAAAGCGUCCGCAGGUGGCUCUUCAAGUCUGCCGUUAAAGGCCAGGGCUCAACUCUGGUUAGGCGGUGGAAACUGUAGAGCUAGAGUGCA
rnacentral:rRNA from 1 species